rnacentral:rRNA from 1 species
GACGUAGGGUGCGAGCGUUGUCCGGAUUUAUUGGGCGUAAAGAGCUCGUAGGCGGUCUGUCGCGCGGCUGUGAAAACUCGGGGCUCAACCCCGAGCCUGCAGUCGAUACGGGGCAGACUAGAGGUAUGCAGGGGGAGAACGGAAUUCCUGGUGUAGCGGUGAAAUGCGCAGAUAUCAGGAGGAACACCGGUGGCGAAGGCGGGUCUCUGGGCCGUAACUGACGCUGAGGAGCGAAAGCGUGGGGAGCGAACAGG